rnacentral:rRNA from 1 species
UACGUAGGGGGCAAGCGUUGUCCGGAAUCAUUGGGCGUAAAGCGCGCGUAGGCGGCCCGGUAAGUCCGUUGUAAAAGUCAAAGGCUCAACCUUUGAAAGCCGAUGGAUACUGCCGGGCUCGAGUCCGGAAGAGGCGAGUAGAAUUCCUGGUGUAGCGGUGGAAUGCGCAGAUAUCAGGAGGAAUACCCAUAGCGAAGGCAGCUCGCUGGGACGGUACUGACGCUAAGGCGCGAAAGCGUGGGGAGCGAACAGG